UCUGUUGAACAGGAACAUGCCUUGACUUGUACCGGCUUGUCUGAAGGGAGCUCUGGCGUGUGGUCAACAGCAGCAGCUGUGUGCAUUUCACUCAGCACUGACCCGGCGAGAGGACAACAACAGCUCAAACCUUCUGCUUUCUGGGAAUACUGGACAAACACAGGUAUCUCAGUAUAUCUGCGCUGACCGGACUGACGGCCUUCCAGCCCUCAGACGAGCUUGUUUACCGGAGGACUUCCCUUCACUGGAAAGCCCCUCAACUUCACCCACAGUUCAGAUCGUCAUUAGAGCACACAAAGAAGGUUCAGCCUGUUCACAGAGAGACAGAGAGACCACAGGCACAGCAGUGGCUUCAGCAGAUGUCCUUGUCAGGAGUAGAAGGCCAGCGCAGACACAGAGGACGAGCGUUCAUCACCAUCAUCAAGAAAGUGGAAGCAGAAUCAAAAUUAGUGAAGGGAAUCUAUGCAUUUGUGUCAGCAACUUCCAGAGAAAGAUGAGUGGACUCUUGGAGGGGCAGCUCAGAAAGGAAAAAUCCUGAGCUUUCUGGCGCAGGAGCUUCCAAGAAGUAGGACAUGAAUAUGCAAAAUGAGUCCUCGAGAGAAGGCUCUCUCAGGGCGAGCGAAUGGAGGAUACAGAGGAGGAAGAGGAGAGAGAGCGAGCGAGGGAAGAGGAGAGAAGAGGAGGGAGAGGAGCAGCGGGGGAAGCUGGCUGCUGUGAGUGUUUCUCUGGCAGUGUCUUAGCUGGUUGUUGUGAGGAGUGAGAACGAAGCAAUCAGCAAGUAUACUGCCGCAGAAACUCGUCACCAUACGAGGCCCAUCCAUCCAGCGCUGAGAACCCCCCACACACAGUCAGCGGAAAAGCUCCAGCCUCUUCCAUCAGCCCUCCCUUCAUUCAGCACGGCGCGUGAGAGACGCUGCUCUGACUUUAGAACCAUUCGGUUUAGUUAUGAUUCUUUGGGGAAUUUAUAUGAUAAAUCAUUUUGUUCAGAUUAUUUUGGUAGAAUUUAGAAUUAUGAAAUAAUAAAAGUACACUACAAUAACUGUAACUGAAGGCUCCAUUUAUAAUAUAAUAUAAUAUAAUAUAAUAUAUAUGUAUGUACAAUAUAGUAUUUGUAUCUGUCCACAUAUCAUAUAAAUAUAUAGUUAAACAUAUAAAAACUCUUAUUUUGAGAGAUGUUUAUGCAACUGAACCUUCAUCUGUACAUCAACCUUGAGUGACUAUUAAUUAUUUUUUUUUCUUUUAUAUUUGAAAAUGAAAUGUUAUUUGGGCCACAAAAAAAUGAGUAUGUAAAAUGAGGGCUUACUGAACAUUAUUAUAAUCUGAGCCAGGGUUGCCCAAACUUUUUGUCUUAGGCUGGGCUGACGACCAAAGAGACAACUGUGUAUAUAAAUAAAGAAGGGUAGUUUAUUUAAAAUUUUAUUUUGAAAUAUUACACUAUAUUUUGUAAGUAAAAUACUUCAAAAAUAAAUUUUAAAGGAAAGUAAGAACAUAAUAUAUUUCAUAUAGGAUUAAAAUAUGUUCUCUCUCACUGGAUGAGGGGCUAGGAGUAAGAUCAAUUUCUGUCAGGCCUCACGGGUCACAUUUGGCACUCGGGAAGCUCUAAUCUAUAACAUAUUAUAGUACUGAACGACCCCUUUUUUAUACAAGCAUUUGAAUACCCUCUAUUAAUAUCUAUCUCAGUGCAUCACAGGGAUUCUUGUGUAUUAAUACUGUGACAAACAAUAAAGUUGACAAAAAGUAUCAUUAUAAUCAGGUAAAAUCAACUGAGUUAUAAUUGAUUAUAACUGAAAUUGGUGCACCUUCAGAUCAGUGUCUCACUGAUGACUCUACUGUUCACUCACAGCCUCAUCACCAAGUACAUAACAGCAAAUUAAUUUCAUAAAUCCUCUGCAUUAAAGCUUUUCUGACUAGACACGCUUCAUGUGUUUCUCAGUUCCUUUGUUGUUCUGGCGAUUCCUGUCCCAGCGCUGCUGUACUCUGUAAUGUACAGUACUGUACAGAAAUCGGAGACCACCCUUCGUUUAUUUCAUUUCCAGUUUCAAGCAUUUACUGGAAGCCUCAACAACUAAAUAUAACAUCAUUUUUUCAGUAUGUAGUGUGUCCACCCUUCACCUUUCUUACAGCUCUCAGUCUAUUCAGGAAACUUGCUCUCAGUUUUUCAAAGAAAUCUGCAGGUAUUUUUUCCAAAGUUCAUUCUUAGAAGUUGGUUUAGCAUCAGU